rnacentral:rRNA from 1 species
AUUGAACGCUGGCGGCAGGCCUAACACAUGCAAGUCGAACGAGUGGCGGACGGGUGAGUAAUGUCUGGGAAACUGCCUGAUGGAGGGGGAUAACUACUGGAAACGGUAGCUAAUACCGCAUACCAUCAGAUGUGCCCAGAUGGGAUUAGCUCGUGGGUGGGGUAACGGCUCACCAAGGCGACGAUCCCUAGCUGGUCUGAGAGGUGGACCAGCAUCAUUGGAACUUAUACACGUUCCAGACUCCUACGGCAGGCAGCAGUGGGGAAUAUUGCACAAUGGGCGCAAGCCUUAUGCAGCCAUGCCGCGUGUAUGAAGAAGGCCUUCGGGUUGUAAAGUACUUUCAGCGGGGAGGCGUUACCCGCAGAAGAAGCACCGGCUAACUCCGUGCCAGCAGCCGCGGUAAUAC